CCUCGAUGACUGGGAUAACUGGCCGAAAGGCUUGCUAAUACCAGAUAAGCCCCCGACCUCUUUGGAGGAAGAGGGAAAAGGCGGCCUCUGUAUACAAGCUGUCACAUCGAGAUGGGUCCGCGGCCCAUCAGCUUGUUGGCGGGGUAAUGGCCCACCAAGGCAACGACGGGUAGCUGGUCUGAGAGGAUGAUCAGCCACACUGGAACUGAGACACGGUCCAG
rnacentral:rRNA from 1 species